GUUGAGGAAGAUAAUGACGGUACUCAACAAGGAAGUGACGGCUAACUACGUGCCAGCAGCCGCGGUAAAACGUAGGUCACAAGCGUUGUCCGGAAUUACUGGGUGUAAAGGGAGCGCAGGCGGGAAGACAAGUUGGAAGUGAAAUCYAUGGGCUYAACCCAUAAACUGCUUUCAAAACUGUUUUUCUUGAGUAGUGCAGAGGUAGGCGGAAUUCCCGGUGUAGCGGUGGAAUGCGUAGAUAUCGGGAGGAACACCAGUGGCGAAGGCGGCCUACUGGGCACCAACUGACGCUGAGGCUCGAAAGUGUGGGUAGCAAACAGGAUUAGAUACCCUGGUAGUCCACACUGUAAACGAUGAUUACUAGGUGUUGGAGGAUUGACCCCUUCAGUGCCGCAGUUAACACAAUAAGUAAUCCACCUGGGGAGUACGACCGCAAGGUUGAAACUCAAAGGAAUUGACGGGGGCCCGCACAAGCAGUGGAGUAUGUGGUUUAAUUCGACGCAACGCGAAGAACCUUACCAAGUCUUGACAUCCCUUGACGAACAUAGAAAUAUGUUUUCUCUUCGGAGCAAGGAGACAGGUGGUGCAUGGUUGUCGUCAGCUCGUGUCGUGAGAUGUUGGGUUAAGUCCCGCAACGAGCGCAACCCUUAUGGUCAGUUACUACGCAAGAGGACUCUGGCCAGACUGC
rnacentral:rRNA from 1 species